rnacentral:rRNA from 1 species
UGGUGGAGUGAUUUGUCUGGUUAAUUCCGUUAACGGACGAGACCUUAACCUGCUAAAUAGUUACACUGUAACUUCGGUUACGUGGGCAACUUCUUAGAGGGACUUUGUGUGUCUAACGCAAGGAAGUUUGAGGCAAUAACA